rnacentral:lncRNA from 1 species
CUGCGGUUGCGCCCACACCGGCGAGGCACACGAGGCAGUCAGCAACAGCGUGUCCAGCGGCCCGAAGCCCGCAACCGACAAACCUCAGGCCGUACAUGAUCGGUCCCAACCCUGGAGGCCCCGCUCCCACCUCGGGCUGGGCGGUGCCGGGGGCGGGCGCCAGCGCCUUCUUGAUGGCGGGCAGCGAGGCCUCGUAGAUGACGUCGGCGUUGGUGAAGUCGUCGGUGGUGGUCAUGCCCAGCUCCCAGGCGUCGUGCUGGCGGGCGGCCACGCCCUGUGAUGGCACAAGAGACGGGUAGGGGAAGAAGCCAGGAGUGAGGCGAAAGAGCCAGCUGCGGCCAGGUUUCGCAAGCACGUGCCCUGCUGAGGAUGGCGCCGGGUAUCAUCGUGUGCUCGCGAGCGCACCAAACGCCACACGCCAGCGCGGUGCGCUGCCUUGCUGCUGCGGCUGCUGACGCCAGCUGCUCCACUGUCCACGGCGGGUUACCCUGUGCCUGCCCCGUUUCGCGUUCUUGAGAGGUCACAUGGCCACUCCAACCCCUGCGCCCGCUGGCUGCGGUCGCUGCUUAACCUCCAGCUGCUGCCUGCUUCAGAUGCUCGCGUAUGCUCCUCCAAGCCAUCGCCUAUGUCACCUCCACAGCCACUCCAAGACGCAGUCCUAGCUACAACGCCCCUCUGCAAACCCGUCACGCCCCCGGCUCCUCUGCUCCAUCUGACUGCCCUGCGCGCUUACGUUGACGCGCAUGUAGGAGGCGAAGAUGCGCGUGGACAGGCGCUCGCCGAAGGACACCAGGCUGUCCUUGGCGCGAGGGGUCAGGUCCUGCGGGAGGGGGGGGCACAUUCAUGAUACUUUACGAAGAAGCGAAGUUGUAGCUAGGGGGGCCGUGGUACAGGUGCAGAGCAGACAACAAAACACGGCUCAACUAACAUGGCAGCAGGUUUGUUUCGUUGAUCACGGCCGAGGGCCACCCAAACCCCGUGAGACGGCAUCUGGAGCCCCCGCUUGGCCUCGAGCGUAUGGCCGCUGAUCGAUCCACGCUCUUCCCCUCACUAAACUCCCGCUCCUUGCUCGUUGCAAGCUGCCGGCAGACACCCACUGACUGUGGCCGUCUGGUUCACACGCCCAGCUCACGCACCCACGCGCGCUUUGCUCAGCACAUGCGCCCCCGCCAGGAUCCUCAGUGCCGUGCGCGUCCGAAUCCCGUAGCACAUUCGAAUCAUACCGCAAAUCACCUACCUGCAUGAUGCUGAUGCCGAUCAACAGCUGCUGCAGCUCGUUGACCAUGCGGUCAACCUCGGUGCGCACGGCCGCCUCCACGCCCAGCUCAUCGCACGUGUCCAGGUGCAGCUUGCGGAUGUUCCUGUGAACGGAUGGUUGAUUUAGAGGGAAGGCAGUUAGAUCAUUGCGAGGCCACAGCGGCAUGAUGAACGGGCGAUGCCAUAAUGGGGAUUGGGCUAAUGGCAGUCCGGGCCUGACAGUGUACCGUAACUGACGUGUAGUGGUGCGGGGCGCCCGGCGAUUGUGAUAGUGGUGGCGGCCCGACCAUGCGCUCGCACUGGGCCCUGUCAGGUCCAACGCAACAAGUUAUCUGAUUGAUUCACUCACUUGAGAGGGGCCAGGUCGCCAAUCUGGUCGGUGGGGGUCUUCAGAGCCAGCUCACCGCACUCGAGCAGCAUGUUGGUGGUCUGGAGGCAUCCAGGCAAUGGUACAGGUCAUUGAACUGACGAACCCGCGACGAUGGAGGGGGGAUGCAGCCCACAAUUUGAAGUGCGCGAGUAGUGUGUGGCCUGGUGAAGGAUGGCAGGCCACGGCGCAACCGGCUGUCGGCCACCCGCGCCUGGUGUCCACAGGUGCAGUCCCAUGGCCCAUGCGCCGUGGAGCUCCAUUUAAGGUUGCUUUGCGCCCCUCUCCCGCCCCCCUCCACCCAGACCCGCACCUUGCCCAUAGCCGACAGCACCACGCACGGCAGGUACUGGGGGAAGCUGCAGAUGAUGUCCGCGACCUCACGCAUACGCUCCGCGUCGCGCACCGAGGAACCGCCGAACUUGUACACCACGUUCACCUGCCGGACACGUGUGCGCGGCCGACCUUAGCUCAACUCCUAAGCUGUCAAGACCCAGCUAUUGGGGUGCUGGCGGGGUGACGCAGGCAAGGUCGAAGGGCCGAAUGCCCGUCCCACAUUUUGCCGCGCACUUUUUCCUGCCACGACACCGCAGCCAAGAUGCAGAAAAGAAACGACACCCCAGAUGGUCUCUCUACGCGGAAAGCAUGGCCGAUGUGGAGCGGGGCGUUGUUUCGCGUGGAAUUCGAUUCAUCGCGCGUGCCACACCCUUCGCGUUCCUACCUGCUUGACGCCCUGGCCGGGCUGCUGGAACUUGCGAGGAGCAUCGACGGUGGCUGCCUUGGCGAUGACAGCGCCCCGCAAAGCGCUCCGCUUGCGAGCAACAGGCGCCGACGAGGUCGCGACGGCGCGACCGCGCAGGAUGGGGCACGCGGGCGCGAUAACCGGCAUCAGAACAGGCGCAAAGGUGCGCUCCGAGCGAGAAGCCACUCGGGCAGACUGGCGCUGGGCAGCAAGCUGCAUUUUCCCUAGUCCUUCUGAGAAGCAAUUUGGUCAAGUAAACAGUCUGCGGCGUGUGUUGGUAUUUUGGCCUAAGGCCGAAGCCUGUAAUUGCCUUGUACGCAAAGAAAAGAAAGACCUGGUUGUGGCACCGGCCUGAAACACCCCGAGAUUGCUUCCCCCCAUCGUGCUCGCCCUCGAAAGUCGAAAACAACACCCCGCCGCUGAUCCCGCCGAUUACAGGUUUACCCCUAAAUACCCUCUGUUGAAGCAAUGGCCCUCCUUGCUACUCGCCGUGUCUCUGUGCCCUGCACUCGCCAGGCUCGGCGCAUCGCCGUGCCGAGGUAGAUCGUGGCUGCUAGCGAGCUGUUAACAGUCUAAUUGCGCUUGAAAUAUAAUGGGAGGUGCCGGGGGCUGACGCAACUUGUUGUCCUUGUGCCUUGGUGCAGCUCGGUGCGCUCUCGCGGCGCCCUGCAAGUGAAGGCCCUGUUCGGCGGUGGCCAGGUAAUCUAUCAAACCAUGACAGUAUUGCAUGGCUGAGACGGAGCGUUGGAAGGGCUGGCGGCUUUGUGCGUGCUGGGGCUGCCAGCACCUUGCAACGCCCCUCGCCCGGUGUGUGGCUGACGCCCGGCGCCCUUACGGUGCUAACCCUACAGGGUGGCGGUGGCAACCCCUUCGACAUGAAGAACCUGAUGGAGUCUGUGAAGAAGGCGCAGCAGCUGGUGCAGACGGAGACGGCCCGCGUGCAAGCCGAGCUGGCUGCGUGAGUCGGGUCGGGCGGAGCCGCGCUGGGUGCCAGGCAGGCGCAUGGGGCACAGAUGCCUCCAGGCCUCAGCAACAAGGGGACAGGGCACGUGCUGAAAUCUGUGUGUAGGGUGUUUGCCGUCAGCAUGCAGUUCCCAUUUGUGGGUGCUUGGCUAGUUACACCACGCAGCACCAUAGGGUGGAAGGCAUCGCAGUUGUACCGUAUGCAGGCGUCGAUUUGCACCCGCCUCAUUCGUUGCUGCCCCUCCUGCGCACCAACAGCACUGAGUUCGAGGGCUAUGACGAGGAGGAGACCGUGCGUGUGAGUCCCUUUGAUUCAUAGCGGUCCGGGACUGGGGCAGCUUGGGCCAAAACAGCUGGAAACGCAAUGGGUACUGACAAAGGCAGCCCCGGCUGUAUCAAUCCAAACGAUAUGGGUCACCCCGAUCAAGCCAUCGGCAUGCGCAUGCGGUCCUGUUGGGCGCAGUUUAAGUCGGCAACAUGGUGCGGGCUGCUGAUGGAGGGUUUGUUGCGGACCUCCACGCGCGUGAGGUCCACACACAUAUUCACUCGUAUAUGUUGACCGCGCGCAGGUGAUCAUGUCGGGCAACCAGGAGCCCAAGGGUGUGGAGAUCACGCAAGCGGCUCUGGAUCUGGGCGCUGAGGUGGGCAGGGGGGGCGGGCGUAAAGGAGGUACAGGAGCAGACGGAAAGCAGGCACAGGAAGGAAAGGGGUGGGUGGGCGGCGGACGGGAAGCAACUAGAGUUACGCAGACUGCGUGCGCCGGGGCACGCUGCGGGCCUACCUCGCCUCCGUGUUGUGCGGGCGGCGCAGCUGCUCCUGUCAAGCCAUGGAAAAGAUAAAUGCAGCCGUGUGCCAAGGGCCAAGGGAGCAAUACAUGCGAGCUCAAGUGGACCGAGCGCCACCCCGUCGGCAGGAGGAUACAAUGCGCCCUGCGGGUGUCCAAUGGCUCGAAUGCGCCUGGUGCAUUUGGGGUUGCUCACUUGCGCUCCUCCCCGCCUGGCGUUUCCGCAGGAGUGCUCCAAGCGCACCACCGACGCCAUGCGCGAUGCCCACAAGAAGUCCGUCACGGUGCGUACCCUCACUCGCUCUCAGGGCUGUAAGGGCUACCAGGUUGCCCGGGGUCCAGGGGCGGCGCGAGGUGAAGGGCUGCUGCACUGCUGUGGAGCAUGCCUGGACUGCAUGGUAGCGGGGCGGUCACGUGCAUGGGCAGGCCGCUCCGUGGCCCUGCCCCUUCUUCUGCAGAGCACCAACAGCGUUGUAACCGAAAACACAUGUCUGCAUUUCUGAAUUGAUGAAUUGCUUAUUGCAGGGCAUGAAGGAGAAGAUGCGCGAGCUGGCCAAGAACCUGGGCAUCCCCAACCCUGGCGCCCUGAACAUGUAAAGCGCGUUCCAUCAGACAGACAGAUAGAGAUAGAUGAAAGCAUUUGCGUCGAGGUUUUAUGCAAUCAUCAUCUUCUUACACAGUCAUGAAGAAGUACGUUUCUGGUGGUUGGCGGGCAUGGGCAUGCGCUGUUGCAAACAGGGUGCAUACGGUGCGGUACGUGCCAUGUACUGGACUUGAGGGCAGGCCGGCCCAGGCACGAUGCCUCAUGCCGCGUUUGCUCAGUAAGUUUGGACAUGUGUUCCGUUGUUUGUGUCAAGUGGUGUUAAGCCAUUCGUUGACCCUGAUUUGCUGCACGGCUCGUUUGUUGGGUGCCAGGUCUGCCAAAGGCCGGAGGUGUUUUGCGUGUAGUCACACGCAAGCGGAUUAGUGUGUUGCACAGGAUGCUGAGUCCUGAGUUUGUUGUUUUACAUGAGUGUUCACGGACGGAUGAUGGGUGCCCGUGGGUACACUCGUGUCGAGAAGGUGCCUACGCGUGCUGCUGGAAAUAAUACGGACCAAAACGCCACACGUGUAAGAAAUGCGCUGCUUGGAUGCCUGCGGGCUUGGAUACGGUAUUGAACACGCAUGUGGGAAACAGCAGGGUAACGCGGGCAGGGAGGGAAGGAAGUGCCGAGGGCGAAGGCGCGGAAAUGCUGCAUCCGAGCGGGGCGGGUCAUUCCGCCAUUCAUUCCCCUCCCCUCCGUGCAUUGUUACCGCAGCAUACUCGGCGAUUGGAUGCAGCCAUGCUGGCAGCUCGCACUUUGGCGCGUCGAGUCCAGGGCGCAAUCCCUGGGUCCCCUUGGGCACCGCCUACCCUCUAUGACCUUGCGUCGAGAAUCAGGGCAGCCCAAAUGAACCUGAUGCUACACACUUACACCUGCUGAUCUACACGGUCUUCCCCGUAUAGGUGAAGCAACUGUCCCGCUGCGUGUUUCAGCAGUCAGACGGCACCUUUAGUACAUGGGGCAUCGCAUUCCCAGUUUCCACCAGCUCCAACAUGUCAUUUGGUUCACGCAUGCAGCCUACAUGACCAGUCCAGAUAUUCAACCACACUGUCCAGAACAAUCUCUCCAGACCACCGCCGAGGUGCCGACCCAGGCCGACCACUUGUCCUCCAAACUACGUGCCAUGCGCCUGUCUGCCGCUCCAAUCCCAUGCUUACGCACUGCCGUGGCCACAUUACGCCCCCGCCUUCAAGCUCUACCCGCUGCGCCCUCCGGCCAGGCUGGACACACCGAAUCACAAGCCGCACAUGCCACACAGUCCAAAAAACCUCACUGUGACCCUCACGAUGCCUUCGCAAGCGGGCUGCCCCCGGACGCGCCCGCCGCCUCAGUCUUGGUGAUCAUCGCGCGCACACUCGCCGGUGAGUGCACCGCCCGCAGCUCGGGAUUUUCCCGCAGGAAGUCCGCCGCCUCCGCCGCCGCCGCCUUUGACCGCUCCAUCCGCGCCACGUCCUCGCCCGCGCGCGUCGACGACUCCCAAUUGCCGCCGCCCUCGCCACCCUCCGCCAGCGCCGCCCGUUUCGCCGCCGCCGCCUCUGACUUCAUCCGGCUCGCAGCCGUGGCGCGUGACACCAUGCUAGCCCCGCCCUCCGACAUGCCCGCAAUGCUGCACGCGUCAUCCCUGUCGGCGCCGCCCGCCGCCGCCGCCGCCGCCCGCCGCGCCGCCACCUGCCGCAUGGCCACAUGGUUCAUGGCCUUGACCAGGUUCUGGCGCCAGGCCUUCUCCUCGCCCGGCGCUGGUCCCUUGCCGUCCGCGCCACGCAGCGCCUGCACGCUCUCCUGUGGGGACAAUAACGGAGGGGGGCGAAUAGAGAGGGGGGCAAGAUGAGCGCGGGCGGAUCACUUGGGUGACUGCGCAGCCGGACACUCAUGGCCACCGCCGCAGCCCAAGGAAGAUCUUCAUGCACUGGUUGCACUCUUUUCCUUUGGCGCCCCCGCCCUGCGCUUUGCCGCAUGACUCUGCCUCCACCUCAACCCAAACCCAAACCGUCAUGUUCAGUCCAUCAAGCCCCCUCCAGCCAUGGCCUAGCCUCCUCACGCCCUGCUGUCCCCUUCAUUUCUCAAAGACCAACUUUUGGCUCGGCUUGUAUCAUCGCUCCUCCACCGUCUAUCUCUCUCCACCUAACCACAUCCCGCUUGCUGCCCCGCCCUGCCCUGCCCUUAACAAACCAGUUAUGCCUGGGCCCCACCCCACCUCGGACUGGACCCCCAAAGUAGCGGUAAGUACGAUCGCGGUAAGUAAGACUUAUUUUACUUAAUACUACUUACUACUACUUAUUAUGACUUUUUCCGCGCCCUGCGCUGCCCCCUACCACACACCCACCUGCAGCUCGGGGUCGUCGAGAGAGGACAUGAAGUUGUCAAAGUCCAGGUCAUCCGCGAAUUUUAGCAGCUCCUCCUCCUCAGCUUCCUCCAGCUUCUCCACCUGCUCCGAGCUCAGAGCCCACGCCGGCUUGCCCGCAGCCGACGCCACCCGCACCUUGCGCCCGCCCGCGGCCGCGGCCUUGGCCGCCCCGGGCUUGGCACCGCCUGCGGCGGCGGCGGCACUGGUGCUGGCCUCCGCUGUGCCGUCUGCCCGCCCUGCAGCCUCCUCGUCCUCGCCGCCUAGUGCUAGUGCGCCCGCGGCUUCUGAGAAAAGGUCAUCUACGAACGAGGCCAUGGCGACCUUGCUCGUUGCCGUCAGCUUCUGGUUGGCUUCGCCAACCACCUCCUCCACGAACCCGCUAACAUUCGCCGUGAGCUCCAGACGCUUGCGCGCCGCCUCCGCUGCAGCCGCUGCGGCGGCUGUUGAUUGCGGGCUGCCGCUGCCCAGGGCGGCGGUCCGUGCGACGGACUCCGCUAGGGACUGCCGGACCGCCUCCGCGCCUUUAGCUGGCCGCCAGAAGCUGACAUCUUCUCCGGUCAGGAUUGCGGCUCGCAGUUGCGCGCUGUGGGGAGAACACGGAUGAGGUCGGGGCGUGCAGGCGAAGGUAAAUAGGUGUGUAUCGUCUGCGCGCCCAGAUGCUGUCUGGUGAUGUCAGGCAGAAGUUGGCAGGGCGGGCAGCACACGACACAGCCACUCACUUGAACGAAGUCACGCUCUCCGCCUUGGCCGCCUCAGCCAUCCGCCGCUCCUCUUCCCGCAGCGCCGCCUGCAGUUACCACAACAAGGAAGGGCUAAGUCCACGUCCCUGAAACAGCCGUGUAGAGGCACCGCGCUUUGCUGCUCUGGCGGCAGGUGCCGCCAUCGCCUUCACACGUCGCUUAUUAGUCUUGCUACCCCUGUGCAUGCCGCCCAGCCGAACUAAAGCGCCAACUCACCUCACGGUUCUCCUGCUCCAGGUUCCGCACGUACUUCACAUGCUUGCUGGUGGCGCUAACCUGCUUGGGCGCCAGGCUGGGAGGGAACACCUGCACGCGCACGGCACGUCCGCUGCGCCGUUCAGAACAGUCCGCCUGCCACCGACGGUGGUGCUUUGAAACAUAACGCUCGCCCACCUUUUGGGUUGGUACCAGCCCCAGCGGCUCAAUAUUAGAGGGCACCGACGAUGGGAGAAACGGCUUCAGCCCAGGCGACGAGUCGACCGCGGAGGGCUUUGGUCGCUCACAGAGCAUCACACCCUGUAUCAGAUCAUGAGGACGGGAAAGGUUAGUCCAACGCGUCGCUUCAACGCAAACGCGCAAUUUGGUCACAUUCUCCUAAACGCGUGCCAUCGCCUCACCUUCUCCCCGCUGCCCAUUUGUUAGCUUCUGAAUCACAGUAACUGCUUCAAACUGAGGACGGGGCUAGUUGUUCAGCUGCAAAUUGGACCUAGUUGCGACCCGGGUCGUGGGACUUUCUUAACGUGUUCAAUGAAAGGAAUAAAGCGUAUGUGCCUCCGUCAUUAUAUGUUACAGGUCAGGCUAGCGAGCCCGUUUCAUGGUUGGUACGUCGAAGGGCCUUCGGCGUGCCGAGUCUCGCUCCUUUCAGGCCCUUUGACCCUUUCCUCCCCUCACCGCCACUUUACACCCGCAUACUGCCUUGCCCACACAUCACCAUUCACAGCGUACUAUGCGAGGUCAUUCCUCCCUCAGCACCACAGCACGCUCGCUACCUGUUAGCUGAUAGCUGCGCAAUCAACGCUGCGGCGGCCGCUAGGUGUGCCUGCAUCUGCAGGAUUUGCGCAGCCAGCUGGUCCUCCAUGUCCAGCACUGCCGCCGCCAGCUGCGCGCGUGAGCGCCUAAGCAGCAGCCGCUCGCGGUCGGCACGGGUGUGCGCGACUGCAUCCACCCAUGCACCCACCGCGCCCGCGGACCCCUCCAGUGCCGGGCCCGGCUUGAUCUGGGUCAGCGCCUGCCCGCCGCCUGCCACCCGUGCGGCGGCGGCUGGCGCCGGUGCCGCUGCCGCUCCUGCGACUGGUGCACGCGAUGGCGCUGUGGCCCGGGGCACCGCCACGUCAGCAGCAGCCGCGAUCGCUGCGGGGGCUGCGCGCCGUGCCGCGACUGGCCCCGCGCGAUCUGGGUCGGGCACCGUGGCCGUAGCGCCACCGCCCGCCGUGUUGGCUUGCCGCCUUCUCGCCCUGUUGGCCCUGGCUACUGCUAGCGCGGCCCUGGCCUGCGUAUAGCGCUUGCUGUUGCCGUGGACCGAGCCGCGCGGCUUGGCCAUGAUAGCGCGGGCGACUUGAUAUGAACAGCUGCUACGGGCGCCGCGGCUCGCCGGAGGGCAAACUCGGAACUCACACCGGCCAGACACCGGAGACCCGCCGGGUACUUAAAUUCUUGUAUGUGGGUAAGCAGGUGGCGCUGUGCCGCUGUGGUGGUCUCCGCUGGGUCAACGAAGGACUUUUACGGCCGUCUUAGACCCGGGAAGCUGUAAGGCAUCCAAAUGCUUGAGCAUAGUCCGCUAUGUAUUACGGUAAUUGUGUGAAAGUCAAUUCGUUCUGCAGGAUCCCUCUCCCCCCCAACCUGGACCGCCAUCGCACCAAGACACGACUGGCCGCAUCUCAACCCUUGCCGGGUAACUGGCUGAAGGCUGCGCCGAACCCCAGCAGCCCCGCACGCCCCAUACAUUGCUGACUUUGUGCGUGAGUACCAUACCUAACGUUACAUAUAAUAACGACAUUGCAAGAAGGGACUUCCCGGAUGUGUGCACCACACACGGGUGUACAAUGUAGCAUGAAUUGGGUUACCCAUUUGUCCAUUGCUGCCACCUGCACAUAAUGCUGACCUGGGUCACCCAGCAGUGCCGCCUCAACAUUCACACUGUCCACGCCCAUUUCCAUUGACGUGAGCCUGCGCAAGCCAUGCACGGCAUGCCACUCUUCAACCCACCCUGAGUCAUUCUCCGCUCCGUCACAAUCGAUGGCUCUUCCCUGCGCCGCCCGCCCCCGCGCCCGAGCUCGAACCCACGCCUCCCGCCACCAUCCCCACCCCAGCUGCCGUCAGCUCCAGCCUGUGCACCUCCACCAGCGCCGCCAGGUUGCCGCCGCUGAUGUCGUCUGCGUCCGCCGCCGCCGCCUGGCCCCGCACGCCGUGCCUAGCCAGGAAGAAGCUAAGGAAGUCGGACGCGCAGUCGAACUCCACGAUAAAGCCCAGCGGGCAGUCGGCUGCCAGUCGGGCGCCCAGGCUGUCGAUCACGUGCACCUGGCCCCCGGGUCUGAGCCACAGCGUGGUGAAGUGGCCGUGCACGCCCAGCACAUACACACCCUGGCGGGAGGGGAUGUGGGGGACAUGUGGGUUGCAUUCAUGAUUAGCUAAGGAAGUGGCAGACGGUGGACAUGGGGGACGGGGAAGCGAGCGACGGUGUUGUUUAGGUGGCGAGUACCUUGAGAGAGUCAGCCGCCGGCAGUCAGGCGCAUGUAGGAAACAGAUAUAUUGGCAGGCUGCGGCAUGCGCAUUGGGAUUGGAGCCCCGCGCUUCCCACAAACGCACCUGUUGCAGGUUGCGGACCAGGGAGGCGAAGUACGGCACCCCGUUCUGCGACGCGCGGUACGGCGGCAUGGACGGCGGGUGCGGCACGUGCUGCGCCUGCUGGUGCUGCCCGCCAUCCGGUGAGGCGCAGGUCUGCAGCGGUGGCGGCCGCGGCGGCCGGGGCGGCCUUGGGUGCGAGCCAGGCUGCGAGCCGCCUGUUCCCGGCGCCUCACGCGGCUCGCUCCCCGGCGUGGCGCGCUGCGCGGCCGACUGCUUGGAACCCGGAAUGCCAGGGCUGUCGUGGUGCGGCGGCGGCGUGAGAGGCAGCGAGGUGGGGAACAUGAGACUCCCGCCGUGCAGCGGCGAGGACGACAGCGGCGGCUGAGGGCCCGGCCGGGAUCCAGCACUGGCACCACAUCCAGCCGCCGCAGCCGCCAUGGCUGCCACUGCAUCGCAAGCGUUGCCGCUUCCGGCAGCGCCUGCCUGCCCCGGCCCGUCCCGGCUCGCCCGGCGUGAGCCCGCCGGGUCCCAGCCCGCGCUUUCCAUGCUCGCCCGCCUCCCCGGCGCCCCUCCGCCGCCGCCUGCUGUUCCAUCUCCACCGCCCGGCGGCUGGAUCAACGUCGCGGCAAUGUACUCUGACAGCCGCAGCCGCUCACCGUAGCCGCCCAGCUGCAGCAUGUGCUCCAGGUCAAAGUCGCCUGUGCUGCUCGCCACACGCGCCGCCGGUGACGUAGCCAGCAGCCCCAUCCACACGGCAGUGCCGGUGCGGAUGGCGCCCUCCAACGCCGAGCCGCUCAUCGCGUCCAUGUCGAUGCCGGCAGCGCUGGCAAUGCGCUCCCGCUGCGAGCGGGACAGCACCGGGAGCAGCCCCCGGCUGUGGCUGUUGCCGCUGGCUGCAGCGCCGCUGUUGCCGGUACGGUGGUCGAAGGAGCCGGUGCGGCCGUUGGCGCCGAAGGCGGCUCCGCCGCUGCCGCCGCCGCCACUGCCACCACCACUGCCGCGCCGCUCACGCUGACUAGAGGCGCCGCCGCUGCCACUGCCAGCAGCAGCGGAGGUGGCAGCGCGCCACCGCUGCAUGGCUGCCAAGCACCACAACGCCACUUCCAGUGCUAUGGCGGCGCAGGCGUUAGCGCCGCCGGCGGCUCGCUGGUCAAUGGCCGACCAGCGCACCUUGAGCACCUCGGGCUGCUGCCGCGCCGUUGCUGCGCCCGUCGCCGCGCCUGCCGAUCCCCCCGACAACGACCCCGGCCGCGUCACCGCUGGAACCACCAGCGCGCCGUGCCCUUCACCUGCGCCCGCGGCUGCUGACCCUGCUUGCUGCUGCUCUGCAUCGGGGCGCGGCGAGGCCAGCUGCCGCGGCAGCGGCGGCGGCUGUGGCAGCUGCAUGGGCUGCAGCACCAGGCGGUACCAGCCCGGGGCGCCCGCGAUUGGCACGCCCGAGUCGAACGGGAAGCCCACCUGUGGAGCGGAGGGUGACAGGCGAGGCCAUGUUGUUGCCGGCGGUCAGUUGACCAGCAUAGCGUAAUUGCAGGGACUGCGUCGCGUGUGUGGUCGCGGCCACAUGGGAGCAAUGCGCGGCAGCCGCAGCACACCCCUCGGGCUGCCCCAUCCUUCCCCCCAUCCUUCCCGCCAUCCUUCCCCCCAUCACCCUUCUCCCUGAUUCUUCUGUGCCGCCGCCGCCUCACCUCAUGUUUGAGCUGCAGCAGGCUGUCCGGCACCAGCCAGGACAUGUCGGGAUUGUGCAAGCAGUCCAGCAGGAACCUGGGGCGCGCGGGGAGGGCGGGCGGGAGGAGGGGCGUUGUAGAUACCGGCCCAGACUAAACCGGACCCGAUGCAAGAGAGAGGGGUUGAGAGGUCAAGGCAACAGGGUAGGAGCAUCGGGAACAGGCAACGGCGGGCAGUGCAGCAGGCAGAAGUGAGUGAUUGCGUUGGGAGGGCGGCCGGGACGGGGUGUAAAAUGCCAGGCCAGGUCCGGGCCCGGGCGUGGAGUGGCAGGGCAGGGUGAGGAAUGGUGGGGCAGGAGGUAAAUCUAUAGCUACCGACGGGCGCCAAGUUCUGGGGGCACGCUGCACCUUCAAAACUCCACCCAUCGCACGUCACAGCCCUGCAUCGCGUCACAGCUCAGGCCGCUCACUCACUGGCAUUGGCUGAUGGCGGCCACACGCACGUCCUCGUCCAUGCCGCCCGGGCCCGACUGCCCAGCCACCCAGCCCAUGACCCGGUUGACCUCCGCCUCCAGCGGAUGCGGCAGCGCUGCUACUGCCGCCCCUGCUUCUGCUGCCGCCGCUGCUAUUGCUGAUCCCGACCCGGCAGCAGCGCUCGCGCCUGCGGAGGGUGGCCCGCCGCGCCCUGACCCUGCAAUGCCGGCACCUCCUUCGGUGCCCUCCCUGCUGACGCUGGUGCUUGCGAGCCCGGGCGGGGCUGCGCCUGGCCCUGAACCGGCCUGCGGCCCGGUGCCGUGCUGGUCCAGAUAGUGCUGCCCGGGGUGCAAGUGGGUGGGCGUGGAGGCGGCGGAGGCGCUGCUCGGGCCGCCCGUCGAUCGGCCUAGCGUGCGCAGCUGUCCCGGGUCGCGGCCUAUCCCGCGGUUGCUGGUAGGGCCGCUAUGUAACCCCGCUGACCGUCCCAUCGCCGCCGCUGGGGACUCGUCAUUUGCAGGGUGCGUUUCUGAUGGCGGCAGCUGCUGGUGAGGCUGUUGUUGCUGCUUGCGAGCGUUGGCGGAGCCGUACCGCCAGAAGAGGAAGCAGCCUCCCGGCGGCGCGCCUGGCGACGUCGCCAUUGGGCUGGGCUGCGACAAGUGCGGCACGUCCGCGGCAUCGUCCCCCGCGGCCGCCUGUAUUGCGACAUCUUCAGCGCCAUCCGCCAUGCCUCCUGUCCACGCACCGCCUGCGCCACCCCUGCCUGCGACCCCAACCCCAGCUGUUGCUGCCGCCGCAGCCGCCGCGGGGCUGGCAAGGCUGGCCGCGGCCAAGCAGCCCGUCGGCGGCUCCACCACCAUCGCGCCCGCGGGCAGGCGGUAUGCCGGCGACAGCUCACCCGCAUAAGCGCCUGGCGAUUCCAGCCCAGGCAGCGAGGCUGACGUGGAUGGCUGUAUCUGCAUGGGCACGGGGAACGUUCCGCCACUGCCGCCGCUGUGCUGCAAAGCCCCCGAUGCCAGGCGGCCGGAGGCCGCAACAGAGGCCGCCGCGGCCCCGCCCUCAGCGCCCAACAGCUGCUGGAUCUGGUUUGGAGCCUGGUGGAAGGCGCUGGUCAUGGAUCCAAAUCCGACCUGCACGCCGGCCUCGCUGGCGAUCGCGUUGCCCUGGAUCCGAUAUACGUCACCCAGGCGCGGGCUGGGCGGCACCAGCGGCGCCAGGUUUGUGAGGCUGGGGUGGCGGCGCAGAGAGCCGGUGGAGUGCGGGGACGCCCCGGCCGAGGUGGAUGUGGUGGUGGUGGUGCCGAGCGUGGCGUGCCCGCCUGCGGCGGCGGCGGAUGCUGCAGCGCCUGCGGCGCUGGCGGAGGCAGCGCCGUCCGCGCCUGCGGCGCGGCCGCGGAUGCCGCCGUUGCCGUUCGCUGCGGCCGCGUGGUUGUUGCUGUGGCCAUGGUUGGAGGUUCCGAACAGCCUGGCAAAGAAGUCGCCGAGGCGCCGACGCUUGGGCGGCUGCAGCAACUGCUGUGACGCCUGCGACUCUGGCGGUAGCGUCGACGACGGCUGCCAUGACAAGGCGAUGGGGGUCGCCGUCGCCAUGGCUGUCGAGCCGGACUUGGCCGUCAGGCCGCCGGUGGGCGUGUGGCUGUCGCCCACGUCGGAGCGCAUCGAGCCUGACACCCCUGGCGCGGCCAGCAGCCUCAGGCUCGCGGCCGCCGCUCCUGCCUCCCGCGGCUGCAGCGGCGGCGGCGCUGGUGCCAUGCCGGCGGCGGAUAUGCCGGCGGCUGCGGCGGCGGCAAAGGCGGUUUGGCUGCGGCCCGCCAACUCCGCCCUGCCAAACGACCCCAUCACGCCGGCGGUAACGUCCGCGCCAGACGGCCGCGACGGCCCUGCUGGCGUGGGUACAGACGUAGACACAGACGAGGCCGCCACCGCAGAGGUAACGGCCCGCACGUCCGUGGCUGCUGUGCCUCUUGGCGCAAUUCCAGCUGCCGCCUCGGCAGCAGCAGUUGCAACCUGUAAGCCCGCUGACAACCGAGCGGCGUCAGUUCCUGUCUGGCCGCUGCCUGCUGCUGAUGUGCCACUGCGUGAGAACCCCAACGCUGAUAGCCACGUUCGCUUCUUUGCCGCUGUGGAGGGCGUUGGAGGCUCGGUGCCUGGUCCUGCUGCAUCCCCCCAGGCCGCAGCGUGGGGAGCCGCGGCCCAGCUGGAGGCCGCCCCAUCACUUGCCCCUUUGGCACCUGCUGUGCCUGCUACUACUUGCUGCGUUGCCCCGGCUGCCAGGUCGGGCGUCCAUCGAGGGCGCACCACGUAGUACAGGUCUAGCGGCAAUGCCACGCCGUGGCCUCCUCCGUUGCUGCGGAUGCCGCCCAAUCCCGGCCCAGCACCCGCGCUCGCAUCCGCCAUUGCACCCCCACCCACAGCCGCUGCAUCCGGCGGCACCAGCAGCUGCACACGUGCACAUUGCAGGUCCGUAAGGCUUUGCAAGGCAGCUGUCGCGGCUGAUGCUUGGGGCCCUGAUUGGGUCGGCUGCGCCGGCGGCAGCAGCACAUCAGCAGCCGAGCUCUUGUGUAGCUCGCUGCUGCCGUCUGAUGCCGCCGCCGCCGCCGCCGCCACAUCGCCUGCGUCCCCCAGGGCUGCGACAUCCUGGCUGGCGAGGAGCUUUACGCGCACCAGUGCCUGUGUGGAGAGCAUGCACCAGCUUUCAGUAAGGCAGCUGGCCCCAAGCAGGGCGGAUCCUGCCUCUUUUACUUCCUGCAUGCGAAUAUACACAUGGCGCCUUUGACACGGCGGCGUGCUACCCAUGACGCCUGUUACCUUGGCUGCUGCUGAAGGCCGCAGCCACUGCACCACCACACCGGUGGCAGCGGACGCGUGAAACGGUUUGCUGGCAUACUUUCUCCGGACUGUUGUGAGCAGCCGCGGGGUCCGCACAAUUACCUGUUGCAGAUUUAAGGAUGUUUAGGACAGGGUGGCCGGGCGGCCAGGUCGGGCGCAGUGUGGGUCACACGGGCAACUCACCUCCAGGACCAGCCAGCUAUUUGGCGGUGCUCCCUUGACUUCCCUCAGCUCGAGACAGUACUCAGUUGACAUUCCGCCGGGUCAGAGCUUUGGCGGGUCAGCUGGGGACGGCCAAUUCCGUUAGACCCUCUUGCGGGCUUGUCACCCAGUUGCUCUCCCGCUAUUCCAUAAUUUUUAUGUUCAAGUAUCCAUAGCAGCGCUACAUCGGUCCAAAUCCAAAGGUGGAGACCUUGGCGAAAGCAAAUUCUUACUACACUCUGACCGGGCCUUGAGGCGAGUCCUGUUGAUAUGGUCGUUUCCCGAGUAUAAACAUAGCGUAUUUGUUUCCAUAACCCACCAAUUGAGGCUGUUCAAGGGGCAAUUGUCGAAUGCACAAUCCGUGUGACACUCGCGCACAGGCUGGCGCUUUAGAACAUAAUUCCUAUUCCAAUGCAAUAUUCGUAUGUGCACGCAACAUACUAGGCUGCCUAAAAACACAUGUAACUUGUGCGCUCUAGAAGCAGUCCAAGCUAUGGUUGCCUGAUGAUUCCUACUCUAUUUUAUUGGAUGCGCUUCGCAAGACCUAACUCAUAGGGCCAAGUAAGGGAAAGACGAGCAUGUCUAGUAUGAAGGGAGCGGCCGCGCCCAGCUCGCAAGGAGAAGCCAAGAAGCACAAGCACAAGGUCGACCCUCGCAUAGAGGCAAAGAUUAUGGAGGCAAGCACCCGGUCGCAGUGACCCGGUCUUCACAUGGGCAUGUCGGGGAGGUGGGGCAGACACACUGGAGCAGGAACGCAGGCUAACAUUGGAGGUGCUUUCAACGAAUGAAAGUACAAUGCGCCCUGUGAUUCCCAGCCUCGUACCCCACGCUCUUACCCCACGAAAGGAGGGAUGCAUCCCAACACAGCCCGCACAGUCACAUACUGCUUGCUUGAUGUCCUUUAUCCCUCACUGCGCAGCUACGGAUAAAGGCCAAGGAACACCUAUCAGUGAAGCAGUUUGAGGAGGCGCUGCGGUGUCUAGACCUGGCCAUAGACCUGCACUCAACCAGCUACAAGGUUUGCGAGGGGAUGGGCUACCAGGUUUCCAUUCUGCUUGCAGCGAUCGUGUGCGGGCCGUUGCUGCAUGUGCAAUUGGACCGCACGGGUGGGGCAUUGCGGCUCAGCAGCGAAUCUUAGCCAGCUUCUGGCAUUGGGUAAAGCCUCGUCAGAGAAGUCUCUGGGCAGCCACCGAAGACUAGCUCUGGCAGCGCCUUGCCAUCCAGCAGGUGGCACGCGUCAAGCCUAGCCGUCAAGCUCCGUGCUUGACCUUCCCGUAACCCACUUUCCCUUUCUGCCCCUCCCCCUUUCACCCACGCACCUGCCCUCAUCCUACCCCUCCUCGGUACAGCUGUACCGCAUGCGCUCCAUCGCCCUGUCCUGCCUGCAGCAGUACGAGCGGGCAGCGGCGGACGCGGACCGCGUGAUGGAGCUGGCGCCGCACAUCAUGGACGGCUACUACCACAAGGGCUUUGCGCUCUUCCACCUCAAAGACUACGCAGGCGCGGUGAGCCUGGCAGCUAUGGCCUGUUUGGGAGGGGCACCAAUAGCUGGAGAGGGUAGGGACAGGGGCGGCGAGCCUGGGCUACCUGGAGCUACCGUGCCAUGCAAGGAAGCGUGGUGUGACAGCCACGUGUUAACCCGUGUGUCAGCACGAGUCAGCACUGUUUGGGGCAGUGUUCAAGGCUCUACUCAGAGAGGCCUUCCUGGCAGUGCUAGGAGACAAGACGCGCUAGCUUACUUAUGGCAGGGGAAUAGCGAAGUUCGUAUCCACCCCUGCCACUGCCGUAUCAUAGCCCACCGUAUGUCGGGUCAUGAGCGUUCAAAUGGGUGCCCUGGCCCUGACUUCACGCAAAAUUACUGGCACGUCGCUCUGACCCUGUGCGUUGCCUCGCCGGUUGAUCUUUCCAUCAUUUCACAGGCACACGCCUUCCAGCAGGGACUAAAACUGAACCCCACCGACAAGACGUUGCGGCAGGGCUUCUGGGACGCCAUUGCGCUGGUGUCGCAGAGCCGGACGGAGGGGGGCAACGAGCCAGAGCUCGUGCCGGCCGGGACAGCGGCGGCGGCAGCAGCAGCAGCGCUGGCAGCAGCAGAGGCGCCAGCAUCAGGGGUGGCAGUGGCGGCGCCUUCGGCGCUGUCAGGGGCAGAGGGGUUAGGGGAGGGUGCCAUGGAUGGAGAGGGGCCGGCGUCAGCGCGGGAGGACGGCGGCCAGGCGGACGGGCAGUAAGCGCGAGUCCAUCUUCACAGGUGCAACAUUGACGACGGUCCUAACGCAUCUACACAUGUACGAGAACGGUUGCCUGGGAGGGGUCAAGGCGGCGUGAAGGAGUGCGUGCAUGGCGCCGCCGAACAGCGGCAUGUUGGGACUGGUGCCCAGUAAUAGAACUGGCCCCGGCUUGGUUCGGGACAUGAGGCUAUUCCGGCAUGCCUCGGCUGAACUCGCUCUCAGAUGUUGUGAUGCGAUGUGGGCUCAGGCCUCGUCCUUGGAGGGGCUGCUGGGUCAGUGCGCUAGGGUAUUGAGUGCGAUGGGCCAAUGGGGGCAUUGGUCUCGUUGCCGGUUGCCAAGGGACUCGAGGGACAGCUUGGUCUAUUUGAAGAAUGGUUAUAUCGCAUUUCGCACAUCACAUCACAUCACAUAAUAGGGCGGACUGGAGCAGGAUGGCGACGCUGACGAAAGAAGACGUGGGAAUCCAUCUCGCAGCAGGUUGACAAGCAUGUAAACCUCGAAGCAAGAUCUAAGCUUAUAGCAGCUGUAUGCUCACGCAGAAUGUGAAACGGCCCUGGCGGACCAUCGGCGUGUUGCCACCCUUACCUUCGCGUCGCUCGCCGAUAGCCAGGCGCUACUCGCCCAGGAGCUCGAGCGUCUCUAUACAGGUACAUUAUAGCUUUAAGAGCUACGUGUCACCCUAACGCUGACGCCUGACGCACUCCUGUGUCGUUGCCCUCGUCCAGCGCUUGGGACCCUUACAGCCUUACCGGAGCCCAUAGCACCGGCAUCCAUGAGUACCGCGACUGUCACACGUGUGAGAAAGAAGAUUGAAGGCUUGUCCCGUCGUCUCGAGGCGUUGGAGAAGCGGAUUGAGCGCGUCAAGAGAGGUACGUACGCCGCGCCAGAAUUUGCGGCAGCCACGGCCGUCAGGGAUGACGUUAGCAUCAAAGGGGGAGGCAUCCCUUCUACAGCCUGGUCUAUGACGUACGCACAGGUGCAGGUUGGAAUGCCGAGGACAGCAGCGAUGGAGGCUAGGCGGCCCUGGCGUUGCCAACGCGUGCGCCAGCACCAACUGUUCGCCGGCACCCGCUUUUGCACCGACGCAGAUGCCCUUGCGAUCACCGGCAUGCAUUCUUCAGCGCCUGUGGCGGCUCGGCUGGCAGCCCCAGAGUGAGCAGGCUUGCGGUGCACCUCCCGGUAUCCAAUGUGGCCAUCCCGAGCCACCAUCCACACGCAGGGGUUCCCCUCGUGGGUUCCCCUGUUCACACGCGGUACGAUACAUGGCCGCGCCAGCCGCGUGCGACAUGACACGUACGGCACGACACGCGGCUACCCCAGCAGUCAGGAUACCUGGAUUACACCGCGAUGGGCAGCCGCACCUCAAUGCAGCUAUGGUUGCUGCCCCUGCCGCCCGUCCCAGCCUAGUCAGGCCUCCCGUCCAGCCAAGCUCGUUUGUCCAGCACGGCGCAUCCGUGUUGCUCAGCAGCCACGGCGUCAAAGGAGCACCAAGCUUUGCUUCACUUGUGAGCUGCAUCCGUAGGCUCCCACAUGUGGUGCGCGGUUCAGGUCAAGGGAUGCAUUUAGUCUGGCGGAGCGCGAGGUGGUGAUGCGCUGGACAACCUGUUGGUGGCGGUUUCGCUACUGGCUGUGCCGGGAGCAGUAUUUGUAUUUCCGACUUCGCAAGCCUUGCACUCAACGUAUGGAAUGUUGGCGGGGGUUGUUGCUGCAUGCGUGGUACGGACCGGCGCGCGCACCCGUGGGCGCGUGCUCGUCCAGGUCGGUUUAGGACACGGCUAUGAUGUUAGCACUGCGAAGCCCGUAGCUGACUCCGCUGUGCACAGGCUGUGCGUAUUGGCAACACGGCUUGCUGAGCUAGCAUGCCUCAGCUGAUGAUGGACGUGUGGUUUCCUAUGUUCGGGGCUGCUCCUGCGGAUGGUUGAGCGCGAGCAGCAGGUGAUGAGCGGAGCGACGUCUUGGUGAAUUGUUGCGGCUAUAUGGAGCUUAGUAUCAACUGUGUGUCUCGGUGAGCAGAGAGGAGGAGCAGCGGCUUGCCAGCGGUCACGAAACGGCGGCACGUUGACGCGUGUCGAGUUUGCUCUGCCUUGUCUGAGCGCAGCCAGGGGUGUGCCAUACACAGAUGUAAAGAUGGAAGACUUAGUGACCUUCUGUAGCACCGCUGCUGUGAAUGGUAGACGAGGGCGUCGCAUUGGUGAUGACUACCAGCCAUGGCCGUCUCCCUAGCCCUUGUUCCCACUGGAGCAAGGUUCAAUUAUCAAAUAUAGAUUUGGACAGUAAAAGGCCAGAGGUCAAGACGCAAGCGCCAGCGCCUCUCGCCCGUCCUCAACCGUCCUUAACCCCUUGCGCUGGGCCAUAUACAGUUCUCUAUAAGAAGGACGUCUCACCACGCUACACAUGCUAUUUAUAUCCAGUAGUAGCCAGCGUUACUAGUUUCCGUGCAAACCAAACCAUGCGCGGGCUCCUCUUCUCUUGCCUUCUGCUAGCGGUGUUGCUGCUCUCAGCAGCAGGUGAGUCGCGCAGUCUUAUUCAUUGCUGUGGAGCUGUCGAAGGGGCACUUCAACUAGACUCCGUCGCCCACCUUCUCAGCGCCUCAGGGCAACCCGCCCUCGCCCCCUUAAUAAUAUGGACAACUAGAUGAAUUGUAUGUUGCAGAGCGCACUGCUUUUGCUUGUACGGUUUGCAUGUUUCUUUUGGGGGAGCUCAUUGGUCAGGCCCUGUGACAGUAGCGACGUCGUGGGGCUUUGGCUCGGCAUGUUUGUUCAUGGCUUGCUGACAUUCGUGAGUAGAACAUCUCAGUUGACGGUUUCCACUCUAACCCCCUGCCGUCUGGCCCGACUUUCUCCAGUCGUUCACGCGCAGCCCGCUUUGACAACGAACCGCAAGUCACCCAGCCCCAAGCCUAGGUGGGUCUGAGCCGGCUUCAGUUGGAUGGAUGCUAUUGGAUGGCCUAGCCGCACGGCCUAGCCGGAUGGCUAUGUUUGGAGGUCGUGUGGGUUUACAACGUCAACAUAUACCCCCUCACACCGCCUCCUGAUGCCUCCCCGUCCUGACAGCCCCAAGCCCAGCCCGCCCAAACCGCCCAGCCCGCCCAGUCCCAAGCCGCCCCCGAAGCCACGGCCGAGCCCCAAGAAGAAGAGCCCCAAGCCGAAAAAGUCACCGCCCCCGCCCGCCUUCGUUCGUGAGUGGGGCUGAAGCAGAAGCCUGGACUGGCAGGUGCCGCGGGGACGCGCUGCAGGCCUUAGCAGUGUGCGGUGGGCCUCGCCGCACGUGCCCAUCCAGGCACAGGGGCACACAUGCCCCCUCCGCUCAUGGGCGGCUUGGAACAGCCACGUGCGGACCAUGGCCCUUGUUGAACUUGAGCAAGGAAAAGCGCUCACCCCGAUGUGGGAUGGAUUAGUUCCUUGCAUCAUUCUCGAGGUAUAUGAGUGCUGAUCGCUAUACUUCAACAGCCCUCUCCGUGUACGCAACCAGACGCAACCCGGUAUGUGACCUGCUAUCGUGCAGGUGCGAAGAACGGCAUCCGCCUGGUGGACGGCGCAGGGCCCCGCGGCCGCCUGGAGGUUUCGUCCACGGACGGCUGGGUGUCGGGCUUGUAUGAUGGGUCGGUGGCGUGGCGGCCGCUGUGUGACAGCGGCGUCUUUGAUGACUACACGGCGCAGGUGCGGGCGCCGGGCACUGGACCACACUGGGCCACGUGCUGCAAGGCGGUGUUGUUUGGAAGAGGGGGAAUGGGAGGGGAGAGCAGAGGCCGGGAGGUGCGCUGUUAGCAUGGGAGUCACAGGGGCACACGGCAGGUGAACACGGCCGCCUAUGAGGCAGGGCGGUGCGGAGCAGGCGUUGUUGCUGCCCACGGCAGCGGCAGCCUGCCGCCAUUGGGCUGGGGGAACAGGGGCACGGCGCGCGCGGGGCCAUGGGGUGCGUACGUACAUGUCCGUGCCCUACUGCCCUCACACUUGCGCUCCAACACGUGCCGUCGUGCAGACCAUGUGCGAGAUGCUGGACUACAAGUAUGGCAGGAAGUACUACACAGCCAAGGUGGCGUACCCCAACUCGUACAACAAGUCCGAGUAUGCCUCGUGAGUCAUUAGCGUCGGCAAUGCAAUGUUUGCGCUUUCUUCCGAGAGCGUACCUGCGUAAGGCAAGGCCUGCCUGCCUGUUCCUUUGAGCUCCUGACUCCCCUGCUCCUAACACGCUUCUGCCCAAUCAAUGUCCGCGCCCCACCACACACAGCCAAGACCCUUUGGACUACUUGUCCUGCUACUCUAACUCCCCCGACGGCGCCCGCCGCAUGCUCCACGCGGGCUCCAGCGCAAGCCACACCCUCAACACCGCUGGCGCCGCUGCUAUGGGCGAGGAGGAGGGCGCGCACCGCGAGCUGCGUGGCGGCGGGCAUGCCCGCAAGCUGACAGCCCCGCUGCGCGGCGACGUCAACACCCCGCCCGAGUCGCCGUACUCGUGCGCGUUCCGGCUGGGUGAAUGCACCUACGAUGGCCCGCUGGUCGGCAUCGAGUGCUCCAGUGAGUGCCCUGACGCGGCCGCGUACCGCCGAAUUGCGGUGCGGCGCUGUCGUCUAUCAGCACCGCAUGUCCUUGAUAAUGGCUGCGCCACCUCUUGGGUCGGGCCCUGCAAGGCCGCUGGCUACGGGUGCCAGAAGGACCGACGACACAACGCUUUGCUGCCUCCGCGCUGCCCGCAGUGACCGAGUUCCCGCCUGCGCCACCACCGCCGCCGUCGCCCCCCAACCCUCCUCCUGGUGAGGCGUUCAUCCUCUGCGCUGCCCCACGCCGUUUCACCGACCAGCCAUUUCCCACCUCCCCACUUACGGGCUGGGCGCGGGUCAGCCUGGGUUCGUAACGCUCCGCUUCCCACCUCCUAGCUCUUGAUUCCUCCACCCAACCCAACCCCUGCAGCCCCUCCGCCCAAGUCCGGGAAGAUCCGUCUCAUUGGCGGCAGCUACAUGCCCGGUGACAUUGAGCCCAACUUGUGCAACGCCGGCUCUGACGUCUGGCCGGACUGCCAAGGGUUCGGCCGUGUGGAGGUGCAGGUGAGCAGGGGCCUGCGCAAGGGCCUGGUCGGUUCGGGGCUUGCGGGCUGGGGACUGGAGGAUGGUCGCCAGCACUGCUGACGCCGUCCGCCCAUCCAGCGUCCACGCUCCGACGCGGACACACUGGCUGUACAACACCAGUCGCCAUCUGCCCACCCCGGAACUCCAACAGGUGCCGGACGCUGGCGGCAAUCUCAUCUGGGCGCCCCUGUGCCCGGCCUUCGACGGUGACGAGUCGUUCGUGGCAGACGUGGCGUGCAAGCAGGUGUGCGUGCGCGCUGCUGGGGUUGGGCCUGAGGCUAAUAUUUGGCGCGGAAGAAGGGUGCAUCAAUUGUAAAAGCGGGUCGCGUGUGCAUGUGCAUUGGGUGCAGGCGAAGACACGUACAUACGUACCGUGCGUGCACCACCGGCAUAAACACCAACCAGACUUGCCGGCAUAUCUGACGUAACCCGCGCAUUCUGUUGCGUGCGUGCCAUGAUGACGCAGGCGUUUGACUGGCCCGAUAAACCCAAGCCCUCUUUCUUUGUCAGCGGCAACCCGUUGCUGCCAGGCUGGACCAUUCCUACAAGUAAGCCAUUUUUCACAGUCGGUUGGGCACUCCCUUUUCCAUCUGUGUUGCUCGGGCCCUGUCUCCCUGCACUGCCCUGCAUGUGCAUGGUCAGGCCCCAACAGCACAAGCCCAAGCAGUCUGCCAACGCCUACUGAUACCGCCUUGCCUGGGUGUGUCCUGCAAACGGCUGCUGCUGGGUCCACCCUCACUCCGCAGGCCCGGUGACCAACGCAGCGUACUUCAACCCAGCCGCGUACACGGGCUGGGCGUCCAUUGUGGGCGGCGACGUGACCACCGCCCUCUCCCUUCAGGAGCUGGACCUGCAGGUGCGUGCCAGCAGGGUCAGGAUCAGGGUCAGGGUCAGGGUCAGGAUUAGGGUCGGGGUUGGGGCCGGAGCCGGGGCCGGGGCCGGGGCCAUGCAGUGCAACCCUCCUACGCCUCCAACCGUGUGUGCCCCACACACUGCUUGCUCCAGUCUCAGGCCAGCCCCGCCUGUGUGUGACAUGCAUGCCUCGGCCGUGUGCUUAAUGCCCCGCCGCAGGUGACGACCGAGCCCUGCCCGACCGGCUACAUGUUCGCCGUGUACUGCCAGAUUAGCAUGUAGGAGGUUUCAAUAUAUGUUGUAGCUUGCUUUCAAGUGGCUUUGCGUAUCUACAUAGGCGUGCGGUUCCCCGGCAGCACGAGGCUCCCAGACGUGUGGGCGCCAUGCAGCCGCCAGAAGCAUUCAUUUUAAUACGCGCGCUAGGCAUUCAUCUCUCCUUUCUUAAAAGUUGGGCCCAAAUGCUAAGUUGAAUUGAAAAUUGAAACAAAUGUUGUACAAAUGUUUGCAGCAGUUGCAGUGGCCCGUCCGUUAGCAGCGUGUUGUGCACCAGCGGAGUGUGCUUUUUUGUGUCCCAACAUAGAGGCGUGUGCUUAGUAGGCGCCCGCGUCAAGGUGGCUGGGUUGAUAACGACCCGGGAUCAGCCCUUUUCCUGCCAUAAGGCAGCCACCUCCUUGUUUGUGUUGCCCCGGCCGUGCGUCCAGUAGUUGCAGGCGUGCUGUGGUCUGCUGGCAUGAGGCGUACUUACAAUAUGACAAUUGAUGGCGCUGGUGGUGUGGAGCGAGGCGCACGGCGCAUGCCGUAGCUGUGCAUCUAGGUAUGCCUUCGUUCGGUGCAUUAGAUACAAAUUGCGAAUGCAUACGGGCAGUGUGUGCUUGAGGAGAGCGGGUGGAGACGCCUAGCGUCCUAGCAAGGCGCGUCAACCCACUAGGCAAACCGUUAUGUGGCUUGCCUGGGGUUUUCCACUCAUGACUUCCUCAGGCGCUUAUCGACGGCACUUCAGGCAGGGGUGCGUUUCACCAUAUGGCAGCGGGGCACGUCAUCAGGGGUUCAUCAGCACGGGGGAUGUCGUGACAGGGGCUGCCCACACGCAUCCACCCUACCCUAUCUGUGUACUGCACCCCCUGACUGCCCCUGAGCUAGCAAGGACUGACACGACGUGGGGGCAGGUCAGGGGAGGUGUCAGAGGCCAGCGCGUAGUGUAGUGGCUGGCGUGCUGACACCGGAAUCCGCUCAAAGGUUACGGCCUCUGAAAACGAUAUACUGCAGGUAGCAAUUUAGUUAAUUGGCUAGGUGCUGCCCCACCAUCUCCAAGCUACAGGGACGCGUUCGCCUGCUGCGACGCUGCCAGCUUGGCUGCCGGCAAAGUUCGUUGUGCCUACCCUGUUGUGCGGCGGCGUCGAGAUCAAUAACGCACAUGUGCAUACAGCAUGCAGCCCCGCCCGUCCGUAGCUGCUUGCAGGGCGCAUGCGAACGGUGGCGUUGCUAAGGGACUUCCCAUCUGUCGAAGCUAACUUCGUCGGAGCUUCCGCCCGUCCUUGCUCGAACUUGCUCGAACAGGGGACCGGCGUUACGGGGUCUGGAGCGAGACGGCGGUUGGGUUUCACACGUAGCACACACCAGGCGUAGCGAUACAUGACCUGGACUGAAGACACGCACUUAUAUUGCGCUUGUUGCGGGCCCGGCCGGCUGCGCGGCAGAGAGUGUGGUAAGGGUUACGAAAUCGCCCAGAUUAGGCUGCUUUCGUCCCUCGGCCCAUGUGCUCGACCAUCUCAUAAGCGCCUGCAGCUCCUGCAGGUUGUAUCGACACACCACACGUAGUUGCAGAUUACUUGCCCAUUAGGCGCUGUGAUAAGUCUGGCCACACCUUGGUACGCAGGCAGACCUGGGCAGACUACGCAACUUGCGGCUAAGCCCACACACGCGACAGCUAGUUCAGACAGUAUGAGGCGCGAGCUAGUUUGCGCCCUUUUUGUGGCUAUUAUACUGGGGCUGUACCAAGGUACGCCGCUCCGGGCGGGGGAAGAAGCCGAGUGGGAACAACAGCAGCAUCUUCUCGCUCAGCGCUGUGGCGUCGCGGCGGCCUUCGGCGUUCCGCGCCAUUCACACUGAAUCAGGCAUUCAUAUCUACAAUCGGUUACAGCGGGAAAUAUGUGUGUUGGAUUUUCAACGGUUAAGGGCCACGCCGAAACUCAUUUAGUCGUUGCGCGUGCGUGCCAUCGGUGUAUGUGAACGUGUAUGCGCAGAGGCGGAGGCCCGGCCUCGCUCGACACUGCUACCUCCUGGAAAGCGCACGUCCUCGCGCAAGUCGCCGCCGCCCCGCCGCGCACCUCCCCCGCAAGUCGCCGCCGUCCCGGAAUCACCUUCGCCGCCCGCACCCAAGCCCUCGCCUCGCAGCCAAGCUCAGCCGAAGCAGAACCCUCCUCCUGUCGUCCUUCCUCGUGAGUACGGUAUGCUUAAGUUACGGCACGGGGCCGCUGGUGCGAGUACGGUAGCGUGCCGUCUGAGCUGGCGCGGCGCUUGCAUGCGGCAUGGAGAGCGAGCCGGGCGCGCGCCCCGUCCGCCUAACAGGACCCCAAAAGCCACGGCGGCCCACACUUCGCGCCGCACCUGCGCCGCUUGUCACGCCCCCCGCCAGUACACAUCUGCCAUACUUGCUUGCCGCAUUUCAUCAUCCGAUCUACAGGCGAGGGCAACGGAAUCCGCCUGGUGGGCGGCGGCGGCAGUGGGCCCCGCGGCCGCCUGGAGGUGUCCUCCAAGGACGGCUGGCUGAACGAGUAUGAGGAGGGCGCCGUGGCAUGGCGGCCCGUGUGCAACAUGUUCGGGAUCGACGAUAGUGACGCACAGGUAGGUGCGUGCGGGGCUUUUUAGCACCUUAUUUGGGCGCAUGAGUGACCGACCAUUAUUGCCACACCCAGUAGCACACGGGCACACAUUACGCAUUAGUUUCCACACCACUCGUCAUUAACGGGUGUCUGAUCACGGGGGAGGCAUGGGGCACAAACCACGCACGGCAUCAGGGACUCAAAGGCGAUGAGCGCACUAACAAAGAAUGGGCACCGUGCAUCUGCGUGCGUUGUGCGCUGAUUGCUUCUGAUAAAGGAUAGGGCGCAGCCGUGCCCCUGCUCACUCAACGCCCAAAGCACCCACCCACGCACCCCCUGAGUUUAUUGACUUUAUUCAUGUAGGUCAUGUGUGAGCUGCUGGGCUACACGUACGGCCGGCUGUACUACGACGACGAGGUGAACCGCCGCCCGCCCAACGACACCGCCACUGAGUAGUGAGUCAACUCGCUCGGGCAACCGACGUAUUUGCUUACUUGCGCGUUGUGUGCUUGUGAUGUGAGGCUCGCGUGCAUGCUCCGUGUGCGCGCACGUCACCCCACCAACCAACAUACACGAGCCCCUGUGGUGCCCGCGUGCUUCUCUCCUCCAUCGAAUGUUGCCCUAGGCGCCGUCACUUGCUUUGAUUCCACUCUCCGCGCAGGCGCCCUUUUCCGAGCGGCCACCGCCCCGUGCUGACCUUCCCCUCCCUCAUGAGCGUCUCCACCCACCCAUCUAUCUGCAUGCAGUGACCUGCCCAUCGAGAACCUGGACUGCUCGCCGAACCAUGCGCCGCCCACUUCCGAGAUCGACGCCACUUCCGGCGCCCGCCGCCUGCUGUCCCGCCGCGCCCUGCGCAGCGGUGCCAUCUAUACCGGCAAGGUUGACAUCCCGGCUGAGGCCUCUUGGCGCUGCACCUUCGCUCUGCGCACCGAAAAGUCUUGCGACUACACCGGCCCCUUGGUUGGCGUGGAAUGCUCAUGUGAGUAGUUGUGGAUGCGGCAUUGGGCCAGUGAUUUGCUGCAUGCAUGCAUGUGUACGGUACAGUGGUGCCUACCUGGUAGGUGCGUGAUCACUGGGUGGGAGUUUUGCAACUUAUGCAUGCCUCCGUGCACGUGCACAUGUUACCCACCGCGAGGUUACAACAUUGUGUUUGUGUGCCCUUGUGCCCGCAGUUCAGGAGUUUCCCCCCGCGCCCCCGCCCCCGCCGUCUCCGCCCAGCCCUCCCGACGGUGAGUUCAGGCCCGCCGCCCCGUGUGGCAGUUUAUGCCUUUCGCAGCCGCUGAUGUGCCCGCACACCCCGCCCUUGAUUGCGGAGGCCACAUCCGUCCUAAACCUCCACCAUCCCUCUCCCUACCUCCUAUCCCGCCCCUUCCUGCCCCUCCGUUCAUCCUUCAACCUCGUCCCCUCUCGCCACACCGCGCACACGCGCAGCUCCUCCCAGCCGCCGGGCCCUGCUCCGCACGUACGGUUCGGGCCCGAACACCUACGAACCCCUGGAGUCCAACCUGUGCGCCCCCCCUGCCGAGGAUGCCGAGGACCCCGAGGCUGCUGCACUGGAGUACGAAAUAUGCACCGGCUCCACGCGUGCCGACCUGAUGCUUGCCGAAUCCUCCGGGAGCGAGGUGCGUCGGUUUUCAUCAAGCAAAGGAUGCGGCUGCUUGGCAAUUGCUAUUCCCUAUUGUGUGGGAUGAAGGCAGCAGGGAAGACCAGACCAGCCAGAUCUGAGCAGCUGCGGCACGGUACGGCACGGUACGGCACGGUUGUGCGGCUAUGGGCAUGCUUGUGGCGCUUCAGCAGCCGCUGCAGCGGCCCGAGGUGACCAGCAGGCAGAGCUACUGUUAACACCACGUGAUUACACGUGUACAGGUGAUGGCGGCCCUGUGCGCUAUUGAUGAGGACGAGGAGCUCGCAAUUCUGGUUGCUGACACCGUGUGCAAGCAGGUAGUGGGGGCUUGGGUGGGGGACCAGACUAGGAAAUAAAGCAUUGCAGGCCUGGGGCUCAAUUGGGUUCAUGCAAGGAAAGCCGUGUGCGUGCUCUGUGCGCAUGCCUUGUGGCCACGGUUGGCUAGCUAGCUAGGACGUACAUGGCAGGCGCGCACAGACACGUACGCAAGCAAUGCAUGAUGACACCCAUCACCGCUUCAAUGCACCUCACACGCCGCCCCCAUCACUGACGCAUAACCACUUCACAGAUGGCCGAUUAUUCCGGCGAGAAAGGAUCCUCUGGCUACCUCAGUACCGUGCUGCCGUCGCUGCAGAUUCCCGAGGCUGGUGGGUUGCUAUUGGUGCUCUUAAAUCACAAUGGGAGGUCUAGUGCCUGCGGUGACUACCGCACACAUACACGCAACCCGUGCUAACGUUGCCAAUCUGGCCGCCCCGCCCCGCCCCGGCUAGCUCCUGCAUGCUGUGCCGCUGAGGCAGGUCCACACUCAUUGUCAUUCCUGCCGUGACCUGUUGCAUUGAGAAAUACAACUGACAGUCAACGCAUCUGCUGGUCUGCUGCUGCACUGUGCUGCAACAGACCCUUCGACCGACGCCCUCCCGCCUGUAUUCCAGGCCAGCACUUACGCCAACAAGUGGUAAGUUUCCCUACCAAGUAACACAACAUGUAACACAACGCUCAUCUAGGGGCGGGUUCAUGCUGCGCGCCCACCCACCCGCCCGCCGCCAUCGCGUGUGCUACAUACACCCCCGCGUCCUCCGUCAACGUGCACCAGGGAAGGCCCGUAACUCUACCCGAUACCGUCUAGCAAGGCAUACAUACCGGUUGCGUCACUUACCUGUAUGUGCUGCACACGCAGGGUGACAAUCACAGGCGGCCAGCCCGAUGCCACGUACCCCGCGCUUCAGCAGAUGGAUUACACGGUGGGUCGGGGGCCUUGACAGUCAGCCGGUGUGCUCGUGCCUGACGCAAACCAUAUGUCUCCAUACGCAUGGUACAUCUCACACGUAGGUUGGCACGCAUGUCAAUUCCAUUGCCCGACCAUUUGUUCCUCCCCUCCUCCUCCUGUGCUUGCAGGUGGGCGACUCCUGUGCUAGCGGCCGGCUGUUCGCCUUCCGCUGCACCUACAGGAGCACCUAAGGAUAGCGCAGCUUAUUUCUCGUGUACGGACCCUAAGAACCUAUCUAUUUAUGAUGUGGCAAACCGGCAUUGAGCGCCGCUCUGCUGAAUUAGCCUGCAGCAGGUACUGUAUCAACCUUCUGGGCUGUCAGCAAGACGGUUGCUAGCUGUAAUACGUGCUGUUUUCACGGAUGCGUGGCCACUCCAAAGUCCAAACAUGCACGGCUCCUUGCCUCUACCUCGAUUACUGGGUGGUGCACUGCAACGUCGGCAAGUGUAAUUGAUACGCAUGGCUGCGUGAGAUGCAUGCGUGGCGCGCAUGCCUGGUUGGAGGGCAGGCAGGGCAUCGGCUGUAAGUCUGGAUAGAUGCUGGGUCCCCAACGUCGCCACGGCACUCCUCUCUCGCUCACGACGGCCAAUCCCAGCAGCCUUCGUGUAUAGACUGCCUGUGGCAGAGUGGAGCGGCUAGCCCAAAAGAGGCCUCACAGGGAGUUUGCACACGCGCCCCCUCGCGGCCCAGCGCCCAACAUGGCCUGGAGAAAGUAAGAGCAAAACGCUGGCGAAUGACAGAGAGCGCAAUAGCUGGGUAUUGGUUAUGGAGGGGCACCGGGUGCGGUGUCCAACUCAAAGUCGUUGAUACGGUAGCAGUCACAUUCGGGAUGUGACUGUGUCGGCUAGCGAGUGUCGGAUGACAGGCAGCACGCAAGUGUUCGCCAGAUACCCGGAAACAGUAAUGCCGGCCUCUGCUAACCGGAAGUUCACUGAUGGGUUACUAACGUAUUCAAGAGGCCUGGAGCGGAGUCUGCUGAUGCGCGUGUGAGACGGGCUGUUGGGAGUGGGAAGCGUACCGUACGCGGGGAAGGAUGGCACGCAUGUUCGUGUCAGUAAUGGGCUGGCCCUACAACCUCGUCCCCAUGUCAGGACCUCCAUGCUACUAUGGGUCGGACCUAAUGUCGAGCAGACGCAGGCACACGACCAGGGCUCCCCUGGCUCAUCUCUCUUUCCCAGGACAGGAACGCCCGUCCUGUGCACCACCUUGCAACCACACACGCACGCACUUUCCCCGAUAUUUCUUGAGCCCUGUCUGCGGCUCUGCAGGCAUCGUGGGCUGCCCACGGGCGCACCCAGUGGGGGGCAAGGUGGGGGGCACCCCUAUGGGCUGCCUAACUGCGUAGGCAGUCGUAGGUCAACCGCAGGGUUCAGGCAUGCCUCUACACCACCGAGCUCCAAUUAUAUCUCACAUAAUCCGCGUCCCGUAGCUAAAGCUCGAGAGAUAUUCAUGCCACGUUCGAAGGCUGCCCGUUCCCACAUUGUGACUGGCCGUGUGGACCGUGCCGCCCGCCAAGCACUGAGUCAUCCCGGCUGUGCCCCAAUCCAACGUUCGCGGCCCCGCUCCCGGCCCUGUGUAGUAGUUCGACUCUAAGUAGUAAUGCUGGGCACGUAAGCCACAUAGAUUUUACUCGCUGCAACAAGACCGUAGGGAAGCUUCCUCCAGCUAGGAACGAGCCCACCACGAUGGGCCAGACUUAUGGCCUUGUGGGUGGGCUUGUGAUGGUCAUCAUCGCGCUGGCCUCCAUUCCAAGCGGUGAGUGGCAAGCUAUAGUUCGCGCUUGGGGCGCGUGAGUUGCGCGACAUCGGAGCACCUGCUAGGAAGCCGGGGACUCGUGUGUUUGCGUAGUUGGCUGCUUAUAACGUCUCAUGGACACUGGGCCUUUAGGUUAUGCGGGCGUUCUAAUUGGAAGAGUGAGCGCCGGGUUCUCAAGUUGCUUUGGGGAAGAACGGCCUUUCCAGCGUUGGGUGUGAAGGCUGGCUCAACAAGCAAAGUAAAAUGGAAGCCAAUUUCUGCUACGGGUCUCAUCCAACUAGAAGUGAAUGCUUUCGGCAAUAGUUGUCCAACUUGAGGGUCCCGGCCUUACGACGUCGCCCAGUUGUCUGCAUAUGCUCUUGAAAUCAACAGAUGUGGAGGCUCGGGACUUCAAGCUAAAUGUCCAGAAGGGGCAGCAAACCUUGUGGCAGAAGUCGCCACCGCCCAAACACCGGACGAGCAGUCCCCCGCCCAAGCGGAGAGCGGUGGCGCCCCCGCCUCCCUCACCAGAGCCCCCAUCAGCCCCGUUGCCGGAUCCGGCCAACUCCCGUAAGUGAUCCCACAGCUUUAGCCCUGCACAUCCAGUAGGAAUUUGCCUCGCAGCGCAUGUGGUUCCUCACCUGCCCUCACCUCACGACAUCCCCCGUCGCAUCCCGUGUGCACUUCCCCGUGCAUGACGUCCGGUCGCGCAGGCGAGAAGAACGGAGUGCGGCUGGUGCUGGGCGAUGGGCCGCGGGGCCGCCUGGAGCUUUCCUCCACUGAAGGAUGGCUGACAGACUAUGUUGACGGAGCCGUGGCAUGGCUGCCAGUGUGUCAGAUGAUUGGCUUUGACGACUCCAAGGCGCAGGUAGAGAGGUCGGGGCUUGACGGGAAGGUUUUGUAUGCCCAAGCCAAUGCAGUGGAGAGGAAGGCCACCAAAGAUGCACGGAUUGAUUGCUACGGGGUGAACCUGUGUCCAACUGCGCUAGAAUGGGCUAGGGGGAGCUGCAGGAAGGCAGCCAAGCAAAGCCGGCAGUGGGGGCAGGGGCGACAGCAUGCAUCUGGGCGAGCGGGCUUGGAUGGGGGAAUGUGUGAGUGUCUGUAAGGUGGGUUGUGCCCGCGGCGUGCUUCACACAGUACAGAGCUUGCGUCACUGCCGCGUGCGACCGCUUCCAAUGCACCAUACAUGGGCAACAGGGGCACAUAGUGUGCAAAAAAGCGUAGUCGCGUGAUUGCCUGGUCCACAGACUCGUCCGGCUGUGCCCAGGUCUCGCCAAGUGUAUGUGGGCGGCGUGCCUGACGCACCGCCCAGGGCACCCAAACAACCACACUCUUAUAACUGCCCCGUGCAGAUCAUGUGUGAGCUGCUGGGCUACACGUACGGCCGGCUGUACUACGACGAUGAGGUGGCGUGGCGGCCACCCAACGACACCGCUAGCUACACGUAAGUUUCUCAAAGGGGGGGAUCGCCUUCUACUGUAACAGAGUUCCUUGGGACUGCCGUAGGCCCGUGGUCUGUGGCACCGGGGCCGGCUGGUGCGGCGGUGUGUGUGCCAGUUUUCCGUUGCUUGGGAUGCAAGCUGUGCCGAUGUGCUGAUGUGCCGAUGUGCUGAUGUGGCGGCGUGCUGGUGUUGGCGAGGUGAUGUUGAGGGGGUCGCCCUGCGCAAUCCGUGGGGCCGUAGCAUGGCUUCCGGGCUGAAGGUGGGGCAGGGCGGCGAAGUUGCGAAUGCCCCUGCGCCAGCCCUAUGGUGCCUUGGUGCGCUGGAGUAAGCGUUGCGCCGCGCCCCGACUGGCCGUCACUCUUACCCCCCUCCGUUCUCCAUGGCCGGCUAACCUCCCCCCCCGGCCUGCGCCACGCUCUGCGCUCUCUCGCCCGCCUGCAGUGACCUGCCCAUUGAAAACCUGGACUGCUCGCCAAACUACCCAGAUGCGCCGCCGCCCAGGUAGAUGUCUUGAGCAUCGCUGGCUCGCGCUGCCGCCUGUGUCAGAGACGAUGGCUCAGGCUCGCCUAAUGCGCCUUCCACUACCGCUCCCCACCCCCCACCAACUGAAAUCCCUUUCCAAGAAUCUAACCUCCCAGUAUGCCGCUCUUGGCAAAUCACUUGUUGCGCUUGCAGCUCUGAGGGCGGGGACCAGACGGCCGGCGGCCACCGCCGCCGCCUGCUGGCGCCACUGCGAGCCGACAUCAACAUCCCCAAGAACGCGCCGUACACGUGCAGCUUCUACUCGUACGCCACCAAGCGGUGCGACUACUCCGGGCCGCUGGUGGGCGUGGAGUGCGGAGGUGAAUGGGCCCCGCGAGGCGUGGCGUUGGGUGCUGUAUGCGUGUGUAUGGUCCGCGCGUUUGUGAUGUGUGGUGCGCACGCGGCUUGGUGGCCGCGUGUCUAUGACGCGAAAUUUGCGGUGGGCCGCGGCAAGAGGGCACGGGGCUGGGAUAGGCUAUGCUUUUCAGCUUGAUUACUUGAACUGUUAAACGUGUUGUGGUCGACGCGCUGACAGCUUCGUGCGUGUCAUGUGCUGUCUGCAGAUGAUGUGUUCCCCCCGGCGCCCCCGCCCCCGCCGCGCCCGCCCAGCCCGCCCAAUGGUGAGCUCGCAGGCGACGACACAUUUUUCGUGCAUGGCUGCAGUGUACUGCAGCCCUACAGGCACACACGAGUAUGUAUGUGCGGUUGCCGCCCGUCAUCACCCAUGCCCUGCCCUCCGCCAGAACUCCAGCUGGCCAGCCGCCCCAUCACCCCACCCCAGUUGCCGCAGGCCACAACCGAAUGGAACGCCCAACUACCUUUCCAAACCCCCAACCCCCAACCGCCCCAAACUCCCGCCGCCGCCUUUCUCCCUACCUCCCCCAAACAGCCCCCCCGGACCGCAACGUGGAUCUCAAGUUGUACGGCGUGGGUGUGGGCACUGUGGCCGACCUGGAGUCCAACCUGUGCGACAGCGAGGAGCAGGACGGGUGCCGCAGCUACGAGCGGGCGGAGGUGCUCAUCGCGGACCCUGCCAACCCAGGGUCGCAGGUGCGGGCGGGCGUGGGGGCGGGCGGGCGGGCGGGAGGGUGUGUUGGGGGAAGCUGGGUUGGAGGGCGUGUGUGGCCGCGCAUCUGCUGGGUUGGGGGGCGUGUGCGGCCACGCAUCUGCUGGGUUGGAGGGCGUGUGCGACCUUGCCGCGAUGUACGAUGGCAGGUGGCGCAGCGGUUGGAUUGUACUGGUAGCGGAAACGUGCGCCGCACAGCUUGCCCAGGCUCCAUGUCAGCUGCGAGCCGGGCUCUGUCCAAAUGACCGCUGGCAUCUCACGUCUCGCGGGGGCCCCAUUCCUCAUCCUGAUUUCGGAUCCAGAUCUGGGCGCCUAUCUGCUCCGUUGACAACAAUGAUGACCUGGCCAUAUUGGUGGGCGACACGCUCUGCAAGCAGGUGCGUGGGUGCGGAUUUGAGAAAGGAAAUGGCGACAGGAUGUGGGCAGGUGAAAGGAGCGGUAUGGGCUGCGCUGCUGGAACGUCCUCGGUGAGGGCCGGGCCCGAGGACGGCGCAUGCAGGCGUCGUGUUGUUCGAAGUGGCGUUAACCGUGCGUGUGUUGCAUCCCGUGUUGCCCCAGGUCGUCAACUACCCGGACCCCGGCUACGUGUCCUACAGCGGCGAGGUGCAGCUGCCGCUACAGAUCCCGGAAGGUGAGGCGCGGACCAAUCACUGAGGAUUCGUUCUUCAGCCCCCUGCCAGCGACGUUGGGUGUUGAAAAGACCAUUGCAUGCACGCUUGGCCACAGAGGCUUCGCGCGCAGCAAGCAGGGUCGGGUGCUGAUGUCCUGGCGAUGCAACCAACCAUUGCAGCAGGAUACUGCGAUGGCACGCCCCCCACAGUCGCGCGGCCGCAUGCUGAUGUGUGCGGUGUGGCUGUGCCCCGCCUGACCCUACGCCCCACAGAGCCCGACGCAGCUGCGGAGGGCAACCUGUUCCGCCCCAGCAAGUAUACUCAGUGGUGAGCGUGCGUGAAUGGUGGCUCCAAGGCUCCCUUGCUACUGUAUGCCCUGCUUUAUCACCCAGUCGCACGCCCAGUGCAUGCCGUGGACCGUCGAGCAACCCGGAGGUGGAGGUGGAGAGCGACGGGCAUGGCUGGCCACGCGCUGACAUGUGUGGCGCGCAUUUCUGCUGUUUGUGGCGUGCGUGCAGGGUCACAUUCACGGGCGGCGAGCCGGACGCCCGGUACCCCGCGCUGCAGCAGUUGGAGUACACGGUGGGUCGGUGCAGAGGGCAUGCCAGUUGCCGCAUGCACGCAGGCCGUUGCGUUCUUCGUGAUGGCGGCUGGAGCCUCGGGUGCCCUUGCUGCGGGCGCCCGCCCUCACAGUUUGCACGUACACAUGACGCAUGCAUACUGGGGAUGUGUCGGACGCGCGCACGGCUGCACACGGUAGCUUCACCAGCCCGCCCCGUGCGCCUGCACCCUCGUUUCUUUCCUGUGUUGGCAGGUGGCGUCGGCAUGUGAGAGUGCCCAGCUCUUCGCCGUCUUCUGCUCCUACGCAGAUGAUUGAUGGUGGGGAUUCCGUGGAAGCACAUCCGCCUGAUCAGCUGCUCCUGUGGUCUCGGGUGAAGGUUUAGAAGCACUGCUUUGUAUUUGUGUGCGAACCCCCAGCAUUUGAGUUUCCACACCUUGAACUGGCCUCAGACGGUGAGACCUCGGGCGUUGUGCUUAGGGGUUGUGCUAGAUCAGGAGGUUUGAGGCAUGGUUGGUUUAGGUUAGGCAAGCAUCGGGCACGUGUGUACGACGUGUGUGUUGUGUGUGCACGCACGCAUGAUCCUGGAGUUACACACAUGGGCGACCCAACGACGGCCUGGAGGCCCGAUGUGUGUGUGUGUGUGUGGCCAGUGGGUCUUCCACCGGGUGUCGCGUCGCGCGGUGAGCCUGUGACUGACUUGCUCCGCGAUUACUACGGUAGUGCGGGCCAACGGACAGCGUUGCCGGCGCACAUGAGAGAUUAGAUGAAAGCAGAAAGUAUGGAUGUGCGUGCUGCGUGCAGUGUAAUCCAUGCCGGUGAGAUUGUGAGACGCAGCGCACGUGUGCGCGCGUGACUUUUAUGUGCAUGUACUCGUGUAUGCGCGUGUAAAGCCCGACCACCUGCCCAGGUGCUGGCUGUCGGGGCUGGGGUUGGGCUGCAAGCUCUGCUUAAAACACACACAGCGCGCUCCCCCCGCUACACGUGCGGGUAAUGCAACGUACGUGCACAGAUUGCCGAUGAGCCGGUGAGCCCCUUUUGGGGACCCUGUCGAACUCAGGCGAGUCUACAACUCCACAGAGGUACCUCUACCCCCCAAGAUUAGCCACAGCCCCUGUGCCUCCCGCAGUGCUUCUCGGAGUUCCUCGGCCGCACUCAGCGUUCAUGUUUCUCCGCACGUCGAUAGCCAUCUGCAGUUUCCGCCAAGAACUGUCGGCCACACAGGACGCACUUCACAGUCCAAGCAAAGCUUGCUCGCCUCUAUCGGAGACGCCUCUCACCCUCAUACCCGAAGUUCCGUUGUCUAUUCCGCGUCAUACGGUAUGCGGCGCGCGUCUGUCCCGGCUUGCAAGGUCGCACGCAAACGCACGCGGCGCCAAUCACUCGCAGCCACCUCACAAUCGGUACGUGCACGCUUCCUGCAGUGCUAUCUCUCAUGCCGCUCACGACUGCACUGCAGCCACCCGUACGUCAUAAGCUACCUCUGUGCCGCUCCUCCUCCUCCUGUUGCUACUGCCGCCGCCAGCACUCCGGCUAUGUCGUUCGCCUGGCAUUGCCAGUGCAACCUGUGCUCCGCUAUCUGCCAUGUAUGCCAUUACCGCUCUGCUACUGCUGGGUGGCACUGCUGCUGCUACUGCUGCUACUGCUGUUGGUUGUGGCGUUGAGCGCCAUCUGCACGGGGUGGCUCGUCACGUAGCGCCGGAGCUUGUUGGGCACCGAGCUGGGGCAGGCCUGCGGGGCAGCAGGAGGAGAUGCAGAGGCGCGCGUGUGCGUGUGUGUUCUUGUUCGAGGGCACAAGGAAAGCAUCGAUGGGUGCGCAGCAUCCCGGCCAGUCCUGACACGCCAUGGCAAGGACUCAGCAGCUACUCGAAUGCGCAUAACUCCCCCACUGUUAUUGCCCGCCUCGGCCAGCCAGCCACCCAAAACCCACCCGCGGGAACAUGACAUCAAAGUUGUACUGGUCGUUGAAGCUGGGGCCGGCCACCGCCUCGCCGCCGCCCCCUGCCUUGGCCGCCGCCGCCUCCGCCGCCUUACGCCGGGCGGCGUUGGCGUUGAUGCGCGCUGACACCUCGUCCAUAGCCCUGAGGUGGUAGGUGGGUGGGUGGCUGGGUGGGUGGGUGGGUACGGUGGGAGGCGUGUAUGGGGACGUGUUUGGGAUGAUGUUUCCCGGCUGCCCGCCCGCACCUGACCAAGGCGUCUGUGGCGACCUUGAUGUCAAUGUCGGGGCCCUGGUAGCGGACCUGCGGGCCAAGGGAGGGAGGGUGUAGCCGGACGCGAGCAAGACAAGAGUUGCGUAGCCCAGAGCGGCAGUGAAACGGGCGGCAGCAUGACACGCAGGAGGAGGCCCAGGCCAACUGGGUGAAGCGAACACGUGCCCACAUACCCGCCCUGGCUGCGUCUUCGCGUCCGCGCAUCCCUGUUCCUUCUUGGGGAUUCCACAUGCCCACCUCCACACCCACCAGCCGCACACGCACACACACACACACACACACACACACACACACACACACACACACACACACACACACACACACACGUCUGGGCUAGCUUCGCACGCACGCACGCACGCUCGGUAAAUCGGUAGGUAUCGGUAAGUAACUCCGGCGUCGUCUGGGCGGGCUUUCGUUUCGUUUCUUAACACACACGCACCUGCUCGUAGUAGGCGCCCAUGUUGUGUGCCAGGCUGGGGAACAGGUUGAGCAUGUUGCCCGUCUGCGUGUCCUCCCACCCCACCCCCGCCAGCUCCAGCAGCGCGCUCUCGCCCGCCGCGGUGGAGGUCACGAACGUCAGCGCUGCACCGUGCACGCCGAUCAGGAUGCCCGUCCUGAGGCACAGAGAGUGAGGCGCACAGAGGAAGGCGCACAGAAGAGGAGCACAGAAGAGGAGCACAGAGGUGAACAGAGAGGCGCAGGACGGAUUGGGGGUGGGAGCGGGCUGGCGGGGUGGGCGGGCAGCGGCCACGGCCGGGCCUGGCACGGACAAAUGCAAGCCGAGGCAAGCCUGCACGCCUCCCACACCACCUCCUUCAUCCCCCACACGCUUCCUCGCACAUCACCUCCAACACAGCACCUUUCCCCCUCAUACUCGUGACUCGAUCACUCCGUUCUUCACAUUCACGGCUACCCCUCCCUCUCAAUCUUCCUCCUCCUGCCGCGCCCCCACCUGUAUAUUGUCAUGAGCUGGUCCGGGUAGUAGGGCCAGUCGCUGAACUCGCCAAACACCAGGUCGAACUGCACGUCCACCGCCGCGGCGCGGCAGCCCGCCAGCCCCUCGUCGCCGCCGUAGUAGCGCGACAGCAGGCAGGAGCGUGAGUUCCACUCCAGGAUGGCCAGCUGCGUGAUUUUUGUGUGUGUGUGUGUGUGUGUGUGUUAAAGAGCACAAGGAAAACAUUGCGCAAGGACAGUGUAUGCGAUGUGUGUGUGUAUGUGUGUGUGUGUGUGUGUGUGUAAGGUUGCCGCAGAUCGUGCUGGAGGCGGAGGGAGAGGCAACAGAGACGUGGGGAGGGCUAGGAGAGGGCGCGUGCUAAGAACCUCAGACACAACUGCAGACGCGUCGCGGACAGCGCCAAGUGCUAUACAGGGCACAUCCCAUCCUGCGUCCUUCGUUCCUUCCUUGUGUGCUCUCGCCGGCAACACGCUUCGCUUCUUUGUAAUUAUUAAUCAUGAAUGUAACCCAACCCACCUGCAGCGCCGUGACCACCGCGUUCUCGUUGGGCACCAUGCGCGCCGACUGCCACUCCGUCAUGCCGGUGCCGGACGUCAGCCGCAGCGCCUCCAGGUUGCGGCGGCUGGUCCACACCACCUGCGGCUCCAGCAGCCCGGGCAGGUAGCCGGAACAGCGCAGGGCAGGCGGGCAGGCAGGCAAGCAGGCGGCCAGGCAAGUAGCAGGGGCGGGGCAAGGGUGUGCGGGGCAAGGGUGUGCGGGGCAAGGGUUCCCAGCAGGUUGGCCCCAUUCGGGGCCGUCGGGCCCGGCGUUCCGGCGAGCAGCUCAUGAGGCACAUGCCGCCGUUGCCAACACCGCACCCAAACCAUCCACCUCAAGCCACCGCACCGCCAGCGCGUUCGCCCGGCAUCCCCGCGCGGCCUUACACGCCUCUCCCUGAUACACCUUGCUCCAUCUGCCCUCCCCCUCCCUGCCCUCAGCCCCCAACCCCGUGCCCCAACCCCCGCCCCCACCACACCUGCCGGCGUAUGAUGCCGCCGGUCUCCGCGGCGUGGUGGUGCACUCGGGCCAGGUAGGCGGGGUCCAGCUCCUUGUGCAGCGUGCGCAGCCACCUGGGGGUGGGGUUGCAUGAUUGAUUAAGAAGCGGAGUUGUAGCCAGGCACAUUGGUACAGCAGGGGAGGGAUGGGGAUGGGGGGGUUGGGGUGGAGGAGGUUGGGGUUGCAAGGAUGGUUAGGAAAGCGGUACAGGGGGUGGGGUUGGGUGGAGGAGAAUGUGAAGAAAGAGGUGGGCGAGGGACAGGAGGAGGGAGUCACUGG